rnacentral:rRNA from 1 species
UACGGAGGAUCCAAGCGUUAUCCGGAAUCAUUGGGUUUAAAGGGUCCGUAGGCGGAAUUAUAAGUCAGUGGUGAAAGUUUAGGGCUCAACCCUGAAAUUGCCAUUGAUACUGUAGUUCUUGAAUUGAUGUGAAGUGGUUAGAAUAUGUAGUGUAGCGGUGAAAUGCAUAGAUAUUACAUAGAAUACCGAUUGCGAAGGCAGAUCACUAACAUUGUAUUGACGCUAAGGGACGAAAGCGUGGGUAGCGAACAGG